rnacentral:lncRNA from 1 species
UUUAUCAUAACGAUGUCCACCUACCACUUUGGUCUCUUCUCUGCCUCCUUUCCUAUAAUUUAUUCCUGAUUCUCUUCCUUUUUGCUGAUGACUCUUCCUCCUGUCUAGAAACCUCUCCUUUGCUUUCCCAUCAGUCAUCUCUUACACCCCUAAAAACUCAGAUCAAGCUUCACUAUCCCCAGAAACAUUCCUCUGUGCUCUCACAGUAUCCAGUGCAUAGUGCUGUCAUACACCUAUCAA